AUGAACGCUAGCGGCAGGCCUAACACCUGCCAGUCGAGGGGGAAGUUACUUUCGGGUGACUGAGACCGGCGUACGGGUGCGUAACGCGUAUACAAUCUGCCUUUCACUGGGGGAUAGCCCGAAGAAAUUUGGAUUAAUACCCCAUAGUAUAUAGGGACGGCAUCGUUUUUAUAUUAAAGCUUAGGUGGUGAAAGAUGAGUAUGCGUUCUAUUAGCUAGUUGGAGAGGUAACGGCUCCCCAAGGCGAUGAUAGAUAGGGGUUCUGAGAGGGAUGUCCCCCACACUGGUACUGAGAUACGGACCAGACUCCUACGGGAGGCAGCAGUGAGGAAUAUUGGACAAUGGUCGGAAGACUGAUCCAGCCAUGCCGCGUGCAGGAUGAAGGUCUUAUGGAUUGUAAACUGCUUUUGUAAGGGAAGAAUAAGGGCUACGCGUAGUUUGAUGACGGUACCUUACGAAUAAGCAUCGGCUAACUCCGUG
rnacentral:rRNA from 1 species